rnacentral:rRNA from 1 species
CCAGCAGCUGCGGUAAUUCCAGCUCCAAUAGCGUAUACUAAAGUUGUUGCAGUUAAAAAGCUCGUAGUUGGAUUUCUGGCGGGGGCGGCUGGCGGCGUCCGACAAGGGCGUCUGCAUGGGUCGGUCCCCGUCAUCCUUGGGGAGAGCGGUUCUGGCAUUAAGUUGUCGGGGCCGGGAUCCCUAUCGUUUACUGUGAAAAAAUUAGAGUGUUCAAAGCAGGCUUAGGCCCUGAAUACAUUAGCAUGGAAUAAUAAGAUACGACCUUGGUGGUCUAUUUUGUUGGUUUGCACGCCAAGGUAAUGAUUAAUAGGGAUAGUUGGGGGUAUUCGUAUUCAAUUGUCAGAGGUGAAAUUCUUGGAUUUAUGGAAGACGAACUACUGCGAAAGCAUUUACCAAGGAUGUUUUCAUUAAUCAAGAACGAAAGU